rnacentral:rRNA from 1 species
UACGUAGGGUGCAAGCGUUACUCGGAAUUACUGGGCGUAAAGCGUGCGCAGGCGGCUUUGCAAGACAGAUGUGAAAUCCCCGGGCUUAACCUGGGAACUGCAUUUGUGACUGCAUGGCUGGAGUGCGGCAGAGGGGGAUGGAAUUCCGCGUGUAGCAGUGAAAUGCGUAGAUAUGCGGAGGAACACCGAUGGCGAAGGCAAUCCCCUGGGCCGGCCCUGACGCUGAGACGCGAAGGCGUGGGGAGCGAACGGG